UACAGAGACUGCAAGCGUUAUUCGGAUUCACUGGGCGUAAAGGGUGCGCAGGCGGCCCUUUAAGUCUACCCGUGAAAUGCCGGAGCUCAACUCCGUGCACGCCGGGGGAUACUGGGGGGCUGGAGACAUGGUAGAGGCAAGCGGAAUUCCGGGGUGUAGCGGUGGAAUGCGUAGAUAUCCGGAAGAACAACCUGAGGCGAAGGCGGGUUGCUGGGCCGACACUGACGCUGAGGCGCGAAAGCCAGGGGAGCGAACGGG
rnacentral:rRNA from 1 species